rnacentral:lncRNA from 1 species
GUAACAGAUGAAGAAAGGCUAUGGAAGAGACAGAUUCUGACUGGGGCUGUGGCUGAGAUGUCACAUGGCAGAUAGGAUCACAAAUUUCUGUUGUAUCUGGAUGGAGAUCAGCAGGAGGAUCUAUGGGUGAGAAGAAGCACAGUUACAGAUGGAUUCUAGAGCCUGCUUGCUGACACAGGCUUGCAACUGCGGACUUUAUAAGCUUAGUUUUUAAUCUGCUAUCAGCUAGCAUAAUACCAUAAAUGCAUAAGAAACUAAGUAUUCAGUCUUACGAGAAAUGCUAUCUUGACCUGACCCUUUCUCCAAAUAAAUUGACAAAAUAUCUCAUCGUCUAGGAUGCCAGACAGAAAUACCAGUUGCAAUGUUUUGUUGCAUAAAGUUUAUCCUAAUUUAAAUUAGUGGCAUAUAAAGUCAUCAUCUUGCUUGAACAAACAUCUUAUUAAAUUGAGCAUGUCUUUUAUCCCAUGAAAUGAAAUUAAUUUUGAGAUAGUUAUUUUUCAGUUGGAAAUUUAUUGAGUUGAUAGAAAACAAGUUAUAUAGUCUUCCAAAGAAUAUGUUACAUCCAUUUGCAUUUUGUUUUUCUUCAGCAAUGUUUGGUUUUUAGAAAAUCUUACAAGUUAAAUAUACUAAUGUAGAAAUUGAAAGAAAAUAAUCAGAGAUAGAGCAAUAAAUUUGCAAAUAAAGAUUAUUCUUAAAAC